rnacentral:tRNA from 1 species
UCCCUGGAGGACUAGUGGUUAGGCCACAGUGCUCUCACUGCUGUGGCCCGGGUUCAAUUCCCAGUCAGGGAA